GUAGUACUCCCUCUGUUCGGAAAUACUUAUCGGAGAAAUAAAUGUAUCUAGAUAUAUUUUAAUUCUAGAUACAUCCAUUUUUAUGCAUUUCUCUGACAAGUAUUUUCGGACGUAGGGAGUACUUA
rnacentral:pre_miRNA from 1 species